rnacentral:lncRNA from 1 species
UAGAACUUGUAGCUGUGGAAACCCUUCUCAAGAGCAAACCAGUUCCCUCCAUUUGUAGGAUUGGUUCCCCAAGACAAGCAUCUUCAGGUAUGGCAACCUUUCUAGUUGAACUAUCGAAUCUUUCUGGAGCUCAGAACCAAUCAAACUUAGCUUGACGAGGUUUGGCUGCAAUUCACAUACAUGAGGUAACUUCUCUAUUUUCCCCUUUAAACACAGCUUGUGGAGAUGUUGGAAAUGAGAGAGGCCCAUGGAUGUUGGGAAUGUUUCCUUGUUCAUCACCUCCAGCCACAAUGAUUGCAGGUAGCACAUUCUCUUUAGGAUUGAAAUCACCAAGUUUACCUUUUCUAGUGAUAAUCUUUCUAUUCCCAGUCGUCGUAGACUGAUCAUGUUGGCUAAGCCACCAUCUUCUAUCCAUCUUCCAGCCCAUGUAGUUUUUAGGGUCUGUAAAUGCCUCAAACGUUUCAUCUUCCAAAUGACAUUGGGGAUGGGUGAAUAAGAAGAUCCCAAAUCCAGUGUCUCUAGGUUCUUCAAGUUUCCAAUCGAUGGUGGGAUGUAGCAAUUUUUAAGAAUCUGGCUCACUCCAAGAUACCUCAACUGAAUUAGGAUCCCUAUAGCACUAGGUGUGUCUGAGGAUCCUAUUGCAUGCUUUAGAUCCAAGACCUUCAGCAACUUGAAAUCCUUUUUAAUAAAAUAGAAGUCUGGAUGUUGAAAGCAGUUGAAAAAAUGAAGGGAUCGUAAAUGGGGAGCAUAUGGAUUUAGGAAAGGUGUGUAGGAAACCAUGUUGCGUAUGGUUAGAAUGUAACGCAAUUCUUCCAGAUUUGGUUGAUGGGGAAACUGAUGAUUCAACUUCACGACCAGUAUAAUUCCAAUAAAAUUUUCUUCCCUCGAUACACAGAGAGAGAAGUCUCUAAGAAGAUCAUGGAUGCCGAUGGUCUUAACCCUCCCAAGUGAGGUCAGAGUUCCCACUUGGAUCAUGCACCUAUUAAUCAACUCGUUCAAGCAAUUUUCAGCAACACCUUCUGCUUUAUCUUCCCCUUGUUGGGGGUAAGAAUCCUUCUGCUAUCCACAAGCGCAUCAAUUGCGUUUUUGGUAUGAAGAAAUCCUUAGGGAAAAGACCCAAAUGGAGAAAACAAGAUUUUUAGUAGAAAGGUAAGUCUUUAUAGCUCAGGGCUAAAAUUGCAGAAGUACGAUCUUGAUCAAUCAGGGUGCCAACUGAGGUUUUGAAGGACGUGUUCCCAUUCCUCUCUAGUCUUCAUUUUCCUGGAUACUAAUCCUCCAAGCACCACCGCUGCCAAGGGUAGACCUCCGCAUUUCGUCACCAUCUCUCUUCCCAGAUUCUUCAAGUCGGAGGGAAAAUGAUCCAUUCCCAGGAGUGCUUUCUUGCGAAACAAUUCCAGGCUUUCAUCCUCUGUCAGCAUUCGCGGCUCAUGGGGAGUGCUCCUUGCAUCUGCAUGUAAGGCAACCUCCCUGUUACGGGUUGUCAGCAUCACCUUACUUCCUGCCAUUCCACUAGUAGGAAAUGCAGCUUCCAAACUUUCCCAAACUUCCUUUUCCCAUACAUCAUCAAGAACCACAAGUUACUUCCUCCCUCUCAAGAAUUCGUACAGCUGCUUUACCAUCUCUUCUUCUACUUCCUCCAAAUCACCUAUAUUUUGAGCAUUUACAUCUUUGAUGAUUCUUCGCAGAGUCUUCUUCUGUACUCUUGAGAUACAUAAACGAACGCCUUACAAUCAAAUUGGUCCCUUAGAUCAAUGUGAUUGUACAAAUUUUUCGCAAGAGUAGUUUUGCCCAAACCACCCAUACGUACAAUAGAAACCACUCGGCACCUCGGUCCUAGAUAGCUGUGUUAGCAAUGCCUCAGUGUCUUCUACAAGAUCAACCAAAUCAUCUUCCUCAGUAUGGGUUAAUGGCCGCCUCCACCAUCGCAGCCUCUCAUUCAUAGAAAUGAUCCCUUGACCUCCCUUCGGUGAAGCGAUGCUGGCAAUGCCAAAACUGUCCUUUUGCUUAGAAAUGUGGUCGAUCGUGGAUUGGAUAUUUUCAAUUUUCCUCUUGACUUUGUGAUCAUGGAUUGUCAUUACAACUUUUUCCCAUAAACUUUGUGAUGUUGCUGCUUGUUGCAUCUAACCAAGUGCAAGUAGUCACACGUAGUAAUAAUCUUGGAAGUCCAAGUAUCAUAUCCUCAGGGGACAGAUAGGCAAAUGUCUGCAGACAAAGAAAUAAUUAAACAUACCAAAAUAAAAGUGACAAGCAAAAUGAAAAAGUAAUUUGAUUUGAGAGAUUGAGUGUAAAAAUGAAUAUCAAUAAUGGACAUCAAGGUUCAAUUCUUUAAGCAAAAUAUGUUUCAUGCUCUUUAAUCCAAAUUAUAACUCCAUCAAAUUAUCAUUGAGAAACUUUGACCAGAAGAUAAAGAAAUUAAAAUCAAUUUAAUUUUUCAAUGUUAUUUUUUAUUAAUGAUUGUUCAAAAAAUGGAAAUGCUUAAUAUCUAAUGUUUUAAUUUAAAACCAUGCUAAGUCAGUUCUUAACAAUGAGAAAAAUAUAAUUGAACUCAUGAAAAAAUAGUAGGACUUAAUAUCAAUCAAAAUAAAAAGAUAUGAAAAUAUUGAACAACCAAAUAUAAAAGAAGUCAGCAAUUCACACCAUAUAUUGGAUUAAAGAACAAUGCACAAACUUACUCAAGGGACAUUCCCUUUAGCCUUAGCUAGAGUUCUAGCAACUCAUUACAAAGAAAAACAUAACUAAAUUUUGAAUGAAAUGGAUAAAGAAAUUUGUCUUAGUGGUCUCCUUGCCAAAUAAGUUGAUGGGUGAUUUAUAGUAGUCAAUGAGGUGAGUGGAAAGCUAAUACAUUCAUGGUGGGUAAUGAAGGGUUUAAGUGAGAGAUUAAUUGGAUUAAACAUGUGUUGAUGGUGGAGAGUUAGUGGAAAAGAAAUAAUGGUGAGGUAGUGGGCGUUAUAUGGCUAUGAAUGACAUGAAAUAGGCUCCUUAGCUUCAACGUUUUUGUCUUCUCUUCUCCCUCUUUACUCCUCUUUAAAAUCACAAUAAUCCCACAAUCAAUUCUUCAAUAAAAUCUACUAGCAAUUCUCUUCACACUUGGCUUGAACUUGGACAAAUAUAUAUUAUCAUCUUUUGGCUUUCCAACUUCCUACAAAAGAUAAAUUCACCUAAUAAGUUCACCAAAUUAAAUACAGAAAAUUCAUAAAUCCAAUUGGUGAGUAUGAAAUGUAACAUCAAGUGAAAUUAUCUUUAAUAGGCCAAAUUUAUAUCAUAAAGUCUCCAAAAUUAUAUUAAAAAUAUACAAUUUAAGACUCUCAUCACAACUCCCAACCAGUUUAUUGCUAUUCCCUAGCAAUCCAAGCGACUAAAAGAAACUCAAAUUUAAGCAAAAAUGAAAAAUAAAAUAAAUAAAAACAACUAAGCCACUUUUAAGGGAAACGAUUGUAUUUAGCAUAUGCAACAAGUCUUUAAACCCUUAGGUUAACCCUAAAGGACGAGUUAUAGUUUCGUGAGGAUUUCCAGGGGUGACACCCACAAACAUGAAGCAUGAGGCUAGCACAAUUAUUCAGAAACAUGAAAUAAAAUAAGCUUUGAAAAAUUAUUUCAACACUUGUCACUAACAAAAAGGACAAAAGCACAAAGUCCGAAUUUUCAAUUCAUGAACAACAUUAAAAGAGAGAACACUUACUUAACAUUUCAAGUUAAUCCCACCACGAAGUCCAAAUCGUUUAUAAUUAGUCAGUAAACUUUUCACAUAUUUCCCUUAGUGUAAAGUGAACCAACACAAUUGAGUGGCAUUAGCUAAAUUCCAAUCACACCAACCUUUUGAUCUCAAGAGUUGUCAAACUCCCUUGUAAGAAACAAACCAAAGUUUUUUUUUUUUAAUACUAUUUUUUUCCCUUCAAAAUGUGGGCUGUGCAAUGCCUAGCUCCAUUAAACUUUCUAAUUAACCCAUAUAGUGAGUAUUAAGCCAAUGACUCUCAAACCAAAAAGGCUUUAAGGCACUAGGUGUAGAGAUACCCCUAAGAGCUUACUAACUCAUGUUAAAAGGGCUACGAAACUAUACUAGCCACACAAAAUUAUUCACACCCAGAAUGUCACCGUUUGACGCAAACACUUACUGCUGAUUAGGCAAGAGGCCCGGUUACUAAGUAGAAGCUUGAAUAGAACACUAUUAUUUCACGAACUUUUUAAAACCAAGAUGAGUCAAAAGAAAGGUCAUCCCAGUUUACCAAAAAUAAAAUAUUAAACACAUUGGUUUUUAACUUUAUACCCCACAAAAAGUGUUAGUGUGCUUGUGUAAAUUGUCAAAGUAUAACUCAUGAAUCAUCCACUAUCUAGAAAUAAAUGAAAAAGACACAAAAGUGGGAUAAUUAUCAUAUCUUUCAUAUAUUCUCAAUCUUAAAAUCAUUCAUGAAUAUCAAAUAAAUCUAAUGGUGUGUUUACUAAUCAGAAAUUGGGAUUCUCAUUAGGAAUUGAAUUCCACAUAUGGAGGAUUCAUGCGUUUACUACACAUCAAGGAAUUGAAAAGUAAGUGGGGCCCAGACAAAAUUAGUAAUUGAAUUCCUAAUUUUGGAGGAAUUCAAUUCUUGUGUGGGAGGUGGUAUUCUAAUUCCUGGAGAACUAACCCAUUAGGCUAUCAUCUUUUUUACCCAUUAUAUCCUCACACAAUUUUUAAAAUUCCAAAUUUGUCAUCUACUUUAAACCAACAACGAGGACAUUUUACUAAUUAGUACCGCUCUUACCUCAAUUCCAUAUAGUUUAGUAAACUUCAAUAGGAAUUCGGAAUCUAACUCCCCUCAAUCUAUAUGGUUUAGUAAACAACUUCAAUAGGAAUUCGGAAUCUAAUUCUCCUCAAUCCAACUCCUCCUCAAUUCAAUUCCUCCUAAUCCAAUUAUAGAUUAGUAAACAUGCCAUAAGUGCAAUGCACUCUUGUCAUAGACAGACUAUGAAAAAAACCAAUACAGUACAUUAACCUCAUAAAUAUGUUUUUUUCUUCAUGCUUUUCAGUUUUUUUUUAAAAAAAAAUAAAUGAAGAAAAUAAACAAAAAAAACAAAAAAAAAAAAACAGAAACUUUGAAUAUAUAUAAUUUUUUUUUAAGUGAACAUAAAUUUCUAAACUAAUUAUAUACAACAGAUGGACUAAGGGAAGUCCAAUCAAUCCUGGUAAUCAAUCCUGGUAAACAAGAUUGUUCAAAGAAACUAUCUCAUCUUCUAGAACAUAUCUCCCCAAGUAAGAUUUAAAUCGUUGGUCAUUAACCUUAAAAAUAUUUCCAUUCUUGGGAUCCUCAACAUCAACAGUCCUAUAUGGGAAAACUCUUUUAACAAUGAAAGGCCCUGUCCAUUUAGUUCUUAAUUUUUGAGUAAACAAAUGAAGUCUAGAAUAUACAAAAGAACAAGUUGAGAAGGCUCAAAAUUUUUCUUCAAAAUAUUUUUAUCAUGAAAAACUUUAACACGUUCUUUGUAAAUUUGUGAGUUCUCAUAUGCAUCAUUCGUGACUUCCUCAAGUUCAUUCAAUUGGAGUUUUCUCAAAGUACCUGCAUUUCCAAGGCUAAAGUUAAACAAUUUGAUAGCCCAAUAUUCUUUACGUUCUAAUUGAAAUGACAAGGUUUACCAUAAACUAGCUUAUAUGGGGACAUACUAAGAGGUCAUUUGUAUGCAGUACGGUAUGCCCAUAAAGCAUCAGUUAGUCUCAAUGACUAAUCCUUCGUGGUUGGAUUCACAGUCUUUUCCAAAAUUUGCUUGUUUCCCUAUUUGCAAGUUCAGCUUGGCCACUUGUCUAUGGGUGAUAUGGAGUGAAAAUCUUAUGGGUUAUCUCAUAUUUUUUCAUCAAAGCUUCACAUGGUCGGGUUGCAAAAAUGUGAUCUUCCAUCACUGAUGAUCGCUCUAGGAGUACCAAACUUGGGCAAUACAUUUUCUUUUAAAAUUUUCAAAGCAGUCUUAUGAUCCCUCUUCCGACAUGGUAUGGCUUCAAUCUAUUUUGAAACAUAAUCCACAGCAACAAUAUAUAAGUAAGCAAAAGAUGGGGGAAAAGGACCCAUAAAAUCAAUGCCCCAAUAGUAAAAAAUUUCAAUGAUUAAAAUUGGGUUAAGAGACAUCAUAUUAAGUCGAGUAACUUUUCCCAGCUUUUGACAAUUUGGACAAGUCGUGCAAAAUUCAUACACAUCUUUGUAAAGUCUAGGCCAAUAAAAAUCACAUUGAAGAAUUUUGGUCGAAGUCUUUUUGGAAGAAAAGUGACCUCCACAAGCCUCAGAAUGACAAAAGGCUAUGACACUAAAUAUUUCAUCAUCAUGAACACAUCUACGGAUUACCUGGUCAGGACAAUAUUUGAAGAGAUACGGGUCAUCCCAAAAGAAUUUUCUCACCUCAACCACAAAUUUCUUUUUCUCUUGUGAGGUGGGAUAAGGCCUGUAGCAAGAAAAUUCACAAUAUUAGCAAACCAUGGUAAUUUAGAAACACCAAACAAUUGUUCAUCAGGAAAUGAGUCUUUUAUAGGCAAAUGUGCAUAAGGUUCCUCAAGGGUAUGCAACAACAUUCUCCACUCCUUUCUUGUCUUUGAUUCUAAGAUCAAAUUCUUGGAGAAGCAAAAUCCAUCUAAUCAAUCGUGCUUUGGCUUUCUUCUUUGUCAACAAAUACUUCAAGGCUAACUGAUCUGUAAAAACAACAAUUUGUGAGCCCAAAAUGUAUGAUCUAAACUUUUCCAAUGCAAAAACCACAGCAAACAAUUCUUUUUCAGUUGUAGUGUAAUUUUCUGUGCACUAUUCAUAGUUCUACUUGCGUAGGAGAUAACAAUAGGCUUCUUGUCUUUUCUUCAGCCUAGCACUGCCCCAAUAGCACCAUCACUAGCAUCACACAUUAUUUCAAAGGGCAUGGACCAAUCUAGGGGCUGCAUUAGGGGGGUUGAUGUUAGUAUUUUAAUUAAUUUCUCAAAUGCUUCUUGACAUGCAUAAAUCCAAUCAAAUUUAGCAUCUUUCUCCAAGAGAUUAUUCAAUGGCCUUGCAAUUACACUAAAAUUUUGUAUGAAUCUCCGAAAUUUGCAUGUCCCAAAAAAGAUCAAAUAUCUUUAACAGUUUAAAAAUGCUUAUCAUGCGACGUUGGAAUGUAGCUGGUGCAUUGCAAAGACCAAAAGACAUUUUUCUAAAACUGAAAGUUCCAAAUGGGCUAGUAAAAGUUGUUUUUUCUUGAUCUUCCAAUGAAAUCUCAAUUUGAUAAUAUCCUAAAUAACCAUCUAAAAAACAAUAAUACAUAUGCCAUGCAACUCUUUCCAAAAUUUGGUCAAGAAAUGGUAAAAGAAAAUGAUUCUUUCUUGUGAUUGAGUUCAAUUUGCGGUAAUCAAUACACAUUCUCCAUCCAGUAGUAACCCUAGUUGGUACCAUUUCUCCAUUAUCAUCUUCAACUACUGUGACUCCUGAUUAGAUUAUCAAGUUUGUGAGCUUUUCCACGGCAGUUGCAACCGGAAGCUCCGCCAUCUUUUAUCUCUUUGAUUGGAUUUUUUUUUUUCUUUUUUGUUUUUAUUUUCUCAACUUCUACUGCAGCUCCCCCCUCUGAUGUUGGUGUCUUGUUAAAGCGUUCCAUGCCAGUCCACUUUUCUUUUUUUCUUUUUCCAUGAACCUUCCGGUCAACUUCCAAUUACUUUCCGAAGUGUAAUUCAUGGGUGGUUUCCUUGCUUCCGCGUGCACCUCCGGCCCCUCCCUCAUCAGUCAAAAGGGAGAGAACCUUAUUCCAUACCCCAUGUUCAUUUUGCCUUUUUCUUUUCUUUUCUUUUUGGCUGAUAGUGGCCCAUGCAGGGUCCCUUGAUUUAGCUAAAACAAUGUAUUUUUGGUUCUAUUCUAUAUACGGAAAUCAAAAUUCGAAAAGGAAUGAAUUGUUUAAUAAUACAGUAGAACUCAGUGGUAUUUUUAUUUUUGUUUAUUUUACUUUUAUACAAGCGAUAUUGGAGAGGGAAAAGAGCUGUAAGGCCAAGCCGUGAAUAUAGAUAGAAACUAGAAGAAAAUGAGUAGGAAAUAGAGUUGAGAGAAGUUACAGGGCUUGGCUUCGUCUACUUAAGUCAUCAAUGGCAAAAAUGAUUACUAUUGUGGCAAGAAACUAACAAGAAUAUUAUCUUAAUAAUAAUGAUUACAAUUUGUUGUAUUCUUUGUAUUGCCAACUCUGCGUCUACUUCUUAAAGCAUUUCUUCCUACCUCUAUGUCUUAUAAUCAACACGGGAAAAUAAAUAUUCAUUUUGUAGCAUGGUAUUGUUUCCUGCAUCCUGAACUGAAACACCAGAAUUGAAAGCAUCUUCGUGCCAAGAACGUAAAGGAACAUUUAGGUUGUCACUAAGUUAGCAAUUGAUUAAUGUUCAUAUCGAUUUCGAAUUUGGUUGAUUUUUGGCAUGAAUGGUCUUUGAAGGGGUCUUAGAAAUGGACGGUUCAAAAAACCACUAUGAAUAUGAGCCUAACAGAGUAGUCUGCAUGGUAUUUAUAUAGAAAGGAGUAAUCAAACUUGAUAACAAAUAUUAUGCCUUAUAAUUAAGGUCAAUUUACUUGUUAAGAAAGACAAAUUUACAUUAAUCUUGGAAACAUUUGAAACAAUCUAAUCUGUUUUUUGAAGCUUUUGUCCAUUCAGGCGAACGCCAUCGUUUGAACGGGUCGUACUCUGUAACAACCUCUAAUAUCUUAACAGUAUUCGACAACUUCAAUCUUUCUGGAAUCUUCAGUCUGGGGCAAUCUUCUAUCUUCAGAUGCUUGAGCUUCAUCAUUGCAUUUUCUUCCACUGUCCAUUCCUCCAACUCCAUUAAAGAAACAAGGUGUAGAACUUGCAGUUGUGGAAACCCUUCUGAAGAGGAAACCAGUUCCCUCCAUUUGUAUGAUUGGUUCCCCAAGACAAGCAUCUUCAGGUAUGGCAACCUUUCUAGUUGAACUAUCGAAUCUUUCUGGAGCUCAGAACCAAUCAAACUUAGCUUGACUAGGUUUGGCGGAAAUUCACGUACAUGAGGUAACUUCUCUAUUUUCCCCUUCAAACACAGCUUGUGGAGAUGUUGGAAAUGAGAGAGGCCCAUGGAUGUUGGGAAUGUUUCAUUGUUCAUCACCUCCAGUGACAACGAUUGCAGGUAGCACAUUCUCCUUAGUAUUGAAAUCACCAAGUUUACCCUUUCUUGUGAUAAUCUUUCUAUUCCCAGUCGUCGUAGACUGAUCAUGUUGGCUAAGCCUCCGUCUUCUAUCCAUCUUCCAGCCCUUAUAGUUUUUAGGGUCUGUAAAUGGCUCAAGGUGUCCAAUCUAAGCUUGACACGAUUUGGUUGGGACUUAUCACAAAGCAGCAAAUGCCUCAAACGUUUCAUCUUCCAAAUUACAUUGGGGAUGGGUGAAAAAGAAGUUCCCAAAUCCAGUGUCUCUAGGUUCUUCAAGUUUCCAAUCGAUGGUGGGAUGUAGCAAUUUUUAAAAAUCUGGCUCACUCCAAGAUACCUCAACUGAAUUAGGAUCCCUAUAGCACUAGGUGUGUGCGUGGAUCCCAUUGCAUGCUUUAGAUCCAAGACCUUCAGCAACUUGAAAUCCUUUUUAAUAAAAUAGAAUUCUGGAUGUUGAAAGCGGUUGAAAAAAUGAAGGGAUCGUAAAUGGGGAGCAUAUGGAUUUAGGAAAGGUGAGUGUAGGAAACCAUGCUGCGUAGGGUUAGAAUUUAAGGCAAUUCUUCGAGAUUUGGUUGAUGGGGAAACUGAUGAUUCAACUUCACCACCAGUAUAAAUUCCUAGAAAAUUUUCUUCCCUCGAUACGGAGAGAGAGAAGUCUCUAAGAAGAUCAUGGAUGCUGAUGGUCUUAACCCUCCCAAGUGAGGUUAGAGUUCCCACUUGGAUCAUGCACCUAUUAAUCAACUCGUUCAAGCAAUUUUCAGCUACACCUUCUGCUGUAUCUUCCCCUUGUUGGGGUAAGAAUCCUUCUGCUACCCACAAGCGCAUCAAUUGCGUUUUUGGUAUGGAGAAAUCCUCAGGAAAAAGACCCAAAUGGAGAAAACAUGAUUUUAAGUAGAAAGGCAAGUCUUUAUAGCUCAGGGCUAAAAUUGCAGAAACACGAUCUUGAUCAAUCAGGUGCCAACUGAUGUUUUGAAGGACAAGUUCCCAUUCCUCUCUAGUCUUCAUUUUCCUGGAUAGUAAUCCCCCAAGCACCACCAAUGCCAAGGGUAGACCACCGCAUUUCGUCACCAUCUCUCUUCCUAGAUUCUCCAAGUCGGAGGGAAAAUGAUCCAUUCCCGGGAGUGCUUUCUUGCGAAACAAUUCCAGGCUUUCAUCCUCUGUCAGCAUUCGCGGCUCAUGGGGAGUGCUCCUUGCAUCUGCAUGUAAGGCAACCUCCCUGUUUCGGGUUGUCAGCAUCACCUUACUAGUGAGGCUUGGGUCCAAGUUAGUCAUUGUCCCGUAACGGGCAAUGAGAUGAAAUUUUCUCAUAUGUGGAAAAAAAUUCAUCAAGCAUUUUGUGAAAGGGCAAUUGGUUCUACACGUACAUAAAUUGCAUUAUCCAGUAGGUGGAAAGUUCUUAAUAAAAAGUUGGCGAAAUGGAGAAAUGCCUUUGCAAAAGCGAUGGACAAGCAUCGAAGCGGAGAAAACCUUAGCAGUGAGGUAAAUUAUUUGUCAUUUUCCUUCUAUUAAUUUCUAUGUCAUAUUAAUUUUUAUUUAAAUGUUUCUUGCAAUUUAUAUAUUUUGUUAAUAUGUCUCUAGUUUUUUUUUUUAUACAUGUUGCAUUUUUUUUAAAUUUAUUGAAUUUGCAUUAGUUUUUUUUUACAUAUUGCAUUGCCAAUAUUUUUUAAAGUUUCUUGCAUUUCCAUUUAAUUUUUUUUUAUAGAUUAUGCAAGCUCAAAUGUGGUUUGGUGCUACGGGGCAAGGGAAAAAAAGUUUCAAUUGUUGGGAGGUGGUGAAGACUUGUAAGAGUUUGCAAAUAUCAUGCAUGAUUUUAUUGAACAAAUGGGAUUGCAUUCAAUAUCUCCCUCGAAAAUGAACAUCAGAGUACAGAGAUUGUGGGAUAAAAUAAUAUCUCAUAAGAUUCUUACCCCGAGAAUGUCUAUGUCUGUCCACAUUUGGGCGACGGUCUUCUCGUGAACCACGGCGACCCUGGUUUUCUUCCUCCAGCAAAGCAACUGCUAUGUCAAGUUGCUCAUCUAGUUCUCUCUGCGCCCUUUUGCUUGCAGCUCGUCUACGCAUUCUUUCUCUAGUUUCUCGCUCUUGCCUCUCCAAAACCUCUUCCAUGUCUGCCAUUGAGAAUGGAGAAUGAAAUCUAAAAUUUGAGAAAUGGAAGUGUAGAGAAGAACUGGUGUGGGAGGUAUGAGCUGAACCUCUGGUUUUAUAGAAAAAUGUACACAGAUAGAUAUGACACGCGGCGCAAUCUUAGAGGGUGAAAAUAUUAUCUGAAAUUUGAAAUUCAAAUGAAAUUUCAAAUUUCAAAUUUAUCUGAAAUUUGAAUUUCGAAAUGUAUCUGAAAUUUGACAUUUUGAAUUUAUCUGAAAUUUGAAUUUUGAAAUGUAUCUGAAAUUUGAAACCGAAAAUCUUAUCCGAUAUGAAUAGUAUUGACAUGUAGGAACCCAAAAAUCUUAUCCGAAAAUAUUAUCCAAAUUAAUUAUUUAAGUAAACAAAGUUGUGAAAAAAACAAAAAAAUGAAUAGUAUUUGCCAUGGCAAGCCCCAACUGCUGGAAACACAUUUUGCUGGAGAGGGAAUAGUGGCUGCCCUAGGGCUCAUCUUGUCAUGGCAAGGGGCAACUGGUGAAAAUGCUCUAACAGAGUAGCCUUCAUGGCAUUUAUAUAGUAAUGUACAUUUAAAAAAUAAAAAUUUUAAAAUAAAAAUUUAUAAAUAAAAUAAAAAUAAAAAUAAAAAUAAAAUAAAAAAUAAAAAAUAAAAAACAAUCUCAACAAAUUAGAAAGGAGUAAUCAAACUUGAUAACAAAAAUUGUGCCUUAUAAUUAAGGUCAAUUUACUUGAUAAGAAAAUCAAAUUUACAUUAACCUUGGAAACAUUUGAAUCAAUCUCUAAUGUACAUCAAUCUAAUCUGCUGCUCGAAGCUUUUGUCCAUUGCAACAAUCUCUAAUUUCUCUAGAGUAGUAGUAAACAACUUCAAUCUUUCUGGAAUCUUUUUCAGUUUUAGGCACCUUUCUAUCUUUAGAUGCUUGAGCUUCAUCAUUGCAUUUUCUUCCACUGUCCAUUCCUCCAACUCCAUUAAAGAAACAAGGUGUAGAACUUGCAGCUGUGGAAACCCUUCUGAAGAGCAAACCAGUUCCCUCCAUUUGUAUGAUUGGUUCCCCAAGACAAGCAUCUUCAGGUAAGGCAACCUUUCUAGUUGAACUAUCGAAUCUUUCUGGAGCUCAGAACCAAUCAAACUUAGCUUGACGAGGUUUGGAGGAAAUUCACGUACAUGAGGUAACUUCUCUAUUUUCCCCUUCAAACACAGCUUGUGGAGAUGUUGGAAAUGAGAGAGGCCCAUGGAUGUUGGGAAUGUUUCAUUGUUCAUCACCUCCAGUGACAAUGAUUGCAGGUAGCACAUUCUCCUUAGUAUUGAAAUCACCAAGUUUACCCUUUCUUGUGAUAAUCUUUCUAUUCCCAGUCGUCGUAGACUGAUCAUGUUGGCUAAGCCGCCGUCUUCUAUCCAUCUUCCAGCCCUUAUAGUUUUUAGGGUCUGUAAAUGGCUCAAGGUGUCCAAUCUAAGGUUGACACAAUUUGGUUUGGACACAUCACGUAGGAGCAUAUGCCUCAAACGUUUCAUCUUCCAAAUGACAUUGGGGAUGGGUGAAUAAGAAUAUCCCAAAUCUAGUGUCUCUAGGUUCUUCAAGUUUCCAAUCGAUGGUGGGAUGUAGUAAGUUUUAAGAAUCUGGCUCAAUCCAAGAUACCUCAACUGAAUUAGGAUCCCUAUAGUACUAGGUAGUCGCAUGAAUCCAAUUGUAUCCUUUAGAUCUAAGACCUUCAACAAUUUGAAAUCCUUUUUAAUAAAAUAGACUUCUGGAUGUAGAAAGCGGUUGAAAAAAUGAAGCGAUCGUAAAUGGGGAGCAUAUGGAUUUAGGAAAGGUGAGGUUAGGACACAAUGCUGCGUAGGGUUAGAAUGUAAG